rnacentral:rRNA from 1 species
UGCGCAGGCGGCUUAUCAAGUCUGGUGUGAAAGGCCUCGGCUCAACCGAGGAAACGCACUGGAAACUGUUAAGCUAGAGUACAGGAGGGGGAGUUAGAAUUCCAGGUGUAGGGGUGAAAUCUGUAGAUAUCUGGAAGAAUACCGGUGGCGAAGGCGAACUCCUGGCCAUGUACUGACGCUGAGGCACGAAGGCGUGGGGAGCAAACAGGAUUAGAUACCCUGGUAGUCC